AAACAAAUACUUAGACAACUUUUUUCUAAUUUUGCUUCAAUAGGAUAUUUGUCGAAGGCAAAAGAUAUCUACAACAGCAUUUUAGGCCCUUAUUUGGGUGACAUUUGGAGACAGCUGGAGAUUGUACAGUUUAUUAGGGGGAAAAAGCCUGAAACCAACUACAAGAUACAAGAAUUGCAAUGUCAGAUACUCAGUUGGAUGCAAAGUCAACAGCAAAUUAAGGUUAAGUAUUGCAAUAAAGCCAGUAAAAUAAUCAGUUUAAGUAAGAAUUGGAUGUAAGAUACAUUUUUGCAUUUAACUUUAAAAUUAUGAAGUAGUCUAUACUACUUAGUCCCUUGAUGGUUUAGUCCUUGAAUAAGGUAACAGAACAGAAUCAGACCCAUAGAAAGGAUGAUUUGCAUCAUUAUUCAUGUCUCAAAUUUAAAAAUACUUUACCAGUGUGGGCAACAUAGUGAGACCUUGUCUCUAAAAAAAAAAUUUUUUAAUUAGCCAGGCGUGGUGGUGUGUACCUGUAGUUCUACCUAUUAGGGAGACUGAGGUGGGAGGAUCUCUUGAGCCCAGGAGGGUGAGGCUGCAGUGUUUGUAAGAAAAUGAGAUUGAUUUUUCAUGCUGAUUUCUCUUAUUGAUACUACUCAGGUAAUAAAAUCAGGCUGUCUCCCAUUUGAGGAUAUGAAAUAUUUUAACAAAAGUGUACAUUAUAUAUAUAUAUGUGUGUGUGUGUGUAUAUAUAUAUAUUCUGAUAGGCUAAAUAUUAUGCUGUAUAUGUGUCUCCAUGUGUCUGUGAUUCAAGCCUGGAAUUAUAUCACAAAAGAAUAGUUUUCCAGAGAGUUUAUAUCAAUGUAUACUUCUUUCUCUAUACCACACCCUCAUAAUUAUUGAAUAUUAUAUUUUUGGGUAAUAUCAAUUUUAUGGACAAAAAUAAUAUUUAAUUUUUGUUUAAAUUCAUGUUUUACUUGCAUUUCUUUUGUUACCAGCAAAUAUGAACAUUUUAUAUGCUUUUUUCUGUGAAUUAUAUGUUCAUGUCUUUGAGUCAUUGAUAAUAUUGAGAAUGAGUAUUCUGGUUUAGAGAACUUUACUGCCUGGGAAACAGGACUGUGAAGUUCUAAAUGAAUUCUCAAGGUUUUAAAUCUUUAGAUCUAAGGUCAUACCAACAUUAGAUGUUAUAAAAUCGUAAAACACUUUAUCAUAACACACAAGUUGUCACAGGAAUGUUGGACCUUGGGCUCCAUAUCAAGGAAGGAUAAUUGUACUGUUACCUUAGUUAAAAUGCAGAUGUAUGUUCCAUGCUUUUGUUUUUAUACAUGAAGGCUGUGGAGCAUUCAUAGGAAACUAUGAGCUUAUAAAAGGUAGUUAAGGGCAUGAUGGUAUGUACCUGUAGUACCAGCCACUUAGGAGGCUGAGAUGAGAGGUUCGACUGAGCCCAGGAAUUCAAGGCUACAGUGAGCCAUGAUAGCACCACUGCACGCCAGGCUGGGCAACAGAGCUGUCUCUAAAAAUAAUAACAAUAUACAGUAAUAAAAUAAAAACUGCUUAAAAUGUAAGCCAUUUUUAAGGAAUAAAAAAAGGAAAUUCUGAUAAAUGCAGAAUAUUUUAGUCCCAUAAUGUUUUGAUUUCAUGAAUUAUUAUUUAAAGAGCUGGAAUAAAUUGGUCAAAACAUUUGUAAUAGUGUUACGUGCAGUAACAUUUAGCACAAUGCCUAAGGCAACACACAUCUCAGCUGAUUUGUUUUAUAUACUGAAUAAAUCAUAACUUUAUUCUUCAAAUUUUAUAAAGUAGAACAAAUUGACAUGUAAAAGAAAAAGCAUAGAAAUCCAAAUAACAUGCAGGAGGGAACUACAACUUUUCUUAAAUAAUUUUAUUAGCAUUUCAUUUUUUCACUCAAGAAUAUUGUAUUUUACAGCUAUAACAUCUCACUAGUAGAGAGAGGCUGCAGUGAGUCACUGAAACUCUUUGGAAGUUCAGAGCGUUAUGUAGUGGUGACAAUUGAUGAACACACUGCCAUAAUUUUGCAGG
rnacentral:lncRNA from 1 species